GGAGACACACGGCGGGUGCUAACGUCCGUCGUGAAGAGGGAAACAACCCAGACCGCCAGCUAAGGUCCCAAAGUCAUGGUUAAGUGGGAAACGAUGUGGGAAGGCCCAGACAGCCAGGAUGUUGGCUUAGAAGCAGCCAUCAUUUAAAGAAAGCGUAAUAGCUCACUGGUCGAGUCGGCCUGCGCGGAAGAUGUAACGGGGCUAAACCAUGCACCGAAGCUGCGGCAGCGACACUCAGGUGUUGUUGGGUAGGGGAGCGUUCUGUAAGCCUGCGAAGGUGGCCUGUGAGGGUUGCUGGAGGUAUCAGAAGUGCGAAUGCUGACAUAAGUAACGAUAAAGCGGGUGAAAAGCCCGCUCGCCGGAAGACCAAGGGUUCCUGUCCAACGUUAAUCGGGGCAGGGUGAGUCGACCCCUAAGGCGAGGCCGAAAGGCGUAGUCGAUGGGAAACGGGUUAAUAUUCCCGUACUUGGUGUUACUGCGAAGGGGGGACGGAGAAGGCUAUGUUGGCCGGGCGACGGUUGUCCCGGUUUAAGCGUGUAGGUGUGUGUUCCAGGUAAAUCCGGUU
rnacentral:rRNA from 1 species